rnacentral:rRNA from 1 species
CCUACGGGGGGCAGCAGUCGAGAAUCAUUCACAAUGGGGGAAACCCUGAUGGUGCGACGCCGCGUGGGGGAAUGAAGGUCUUCGGAUUGUAAACCCCUGUCAUGUGGGAGCAAAUUAAAAAGAUAGUACCACAAGAGGAAGAGACGGCUAACUCUGUGCCAGCAGCCGCGGUAAUACAGAGGUCUCAAGCGUUGUUCGGAAUCACUGGGCGUAAAGCGUGCGUAGGCUGUUUCGUAAGUCGUGUGUGAAAGGCGCGGGCUCAACCCGCGGACGGCACAUGAUACUGCGAGACUAGAGUAAUGGAGGGGGAACCGGAAUUCUCGGUGUAGCAGUGAAAUGCGGAGAUAGCGAGAGGAACACUCGUGGCGAAGGCGGGUUCCUGGACAUUAACUGACGCUGAGGCACGAAGGCCAGGGGAGCGAAAGGGAUUAGAUACCCCUGUAGUC